rnacentral:RNase_P_RNA from 1 species
GGGAGUGGGCGCAUGAUCGCUGGCGGCUUUGGCCGCCAGAGGAAAGUCCGGACUCCGCAGGGCAAGGAGGUUCGUAACGCGAACUGGGGGCGACCCCGAGGAAAGUGCCACAGAAAACAAACCGCCGGGCAACCGGUAAGGGUGAAAAGGUGGGGUAAGAGCCCACCGCUUGCGUGGC